CUCUGUUUAUGGUUUGUUUUAAAACCAUAACACAAUGUCACUAACCUGUCCAUUCAUACAUCACUUGUAUCACAUUCAUUGAGCAUAGAACAAGAUGUAGUCACAACUUUCUAUUAUAUGAGAGUUAUUGGAAGGUCGAGUUUCUAUCCCUCAUACUGCUUACUUUACUUCAAAAUCCCUCUGUUUCAGCUAUGUAUUGAUAUCCAUAUCCAUGUUACAUCAUAACUACUUGAACAUAAUAUUUACAUAUAUAUAACAAUAAUAAAUGAAUAAAAUUAAAUAUUUACAAAUGUUGAUCCAAU